rnacentral:rRNA from 1 species
UACGGGGGGGGCAAGCGUUGUUCGGAAUUACUGGGCGUAAAGGGCGCGUAGGCGGCCAACUAAGUCGGAUGUGAAAUCCCCAGGCUUAACCUGGGAACUGCAUCUGAUACUGGAUGGCUUGAAUCCGGGAGAGGGAUGCAGAAUUCCAGGUGUAGCGGUGAAAUGCGUAGAUAUCUGGAGGAAUACCGGUGGCGAAGGCGGCAUCCUGGACCGGCAUUGACGCUGAUGAGCGAAAGCUAGGGGAGCAAACGGG